UAGGGAAUAUUAGUCAUGGGCGAAAGCCUGAACUAGCAACACCGCGUGUGCGAAGAAGGCCUUCGGGUUGUAAAGCCCUUUUUGAGAGGAUGAGGAAGGACGGUACUCUCAGAAUAAGUCUCGGCUAACUACGUGCCAGCAGCCGCGGUAACACGUAGGAGGCAACCGUUAUCCGGAUUUACUGGGCGUAAAGCGCGUGUAGGUGGUUUGGUAAGUAGGGCGUGAAAGCUCCUGGCUCAACUGGGAGAGGGCGUUCUAAACUGCCGGACUAGAGGAUGGUAGAGGGAGGUGGAAUUCCGGGUGUAGCGGUGGAAUGCGCAGAUAUCCGGAGGAACACCAGUGGCGAAAGCGGCCUCCUGGACCACUCCUGACACUCAGACGCGAAAGCUAGGGUAGCAAACG
rnacentral:rRNA from 1 species